AUUGAACGCUGGCGGCAUGCCUUACACAUGCAAGUCGAACGGCAGCGCGGGGCAACCUGGCGGCGAGUGGCGAACGGGUGAGUAAUAUAUCGGAACGUACCCAAGAGUGGGGGAUAACGUAGCGAAAGUUACGCUAAUACCGCAUACGAUCCACGGAUGAAAGCAGGGGACCUUCGGGCCUUGUGCUCCUGGGAGCGGC
rnacentral:rRNA from 1 species